GAUGAAGAACGUAGCGAAAUGCGAUAAGUAAUGUGAAUUGCAGAAUUCCGUGGAUCAUCGAAUCUUUGAACGCACAUUGCGCCCUCUGGUAUUCCGGGGGGCAUGCCUGUCCGAGCGUCAUUUGCAACCCUCAAGCCCGGCUUGUGUGAUGGGUGCCGUCCCCUACGGGACGCGCCCCGAAGGCAAUGGCGGCGUCGCGGUUAUCCGAUCAGCCAAAGUGUAUGGGGCUUUGUCACUCACUUUACGGCCCGGACCGGCGCCAGCCCGAAUCAAUCUUUUUUCUAAAGUUGACCUCGGAUCAGGUAGGGAUACCCGCUGAACUUAAGCAUAUCAAUAGGCGGAGGA
rnacentral:misc_RNA from 1 species